AACGAACGUUGGCGGCAGGCUUAACACAUGCAAGUCGAGCGCCCCGCAAGGGGAGCGGCAGACGGGUGAGUAACGCGUGGGAAUCUACCCAUCUCUACGGAAUAACGCAUGGAAACGUGUGCUAAUACCGUAUACGUCCUUCGGGAGAAAGAUUUAUCGGAGAUGGAUGAGCCCGCGUUGGAUUAGCUAGUUGGUGGGGUAAAGGCCUACCAAGGCGACGAUCCAUAGCUGGUCUGAGAGGAUGAUCAGCCACACUGGGACUGAGACACGGCCCAGACUCCUACGGGAGGCAGCAGUGGGGAAUAUUGACAAUGGGCGCAAGCCUGAUCCAGCCAUGCCGCGUGAGUGAUGGAGGCCCUAGGGUUGUAAAGCUCUUUCACCGGUGAAGAUAAUGACGGUAACCGGAGAAGAAGCCCCGGCUAACUUCGUGCCAGCCGCCGCCGUAACAC
rnacentral:rRNA from 1 species